rnacentral:rRNA from 1 species
CUACGGGGCGCUGCAGUGAGGAAUAUUGCGCAAUGGGGGCAACCCUGACGCAGCGACGCCGCGUGGAUGAUGAAGGCCUUCGGGUCGUAAAAUCCUGUCAGAUGGAAAGAAGUGCGAGGUGGUUAAUACCCAUUUCGUUUGACGGUACCAUCAGAGGAAGCACCGGCUAACUCCGUGCCAGCAGCCGCGGUAAUACGGAGGGUGCAAGCGUUGUUCGGAAUUACUGGGCGUAAAGCGCGCGUAGGCGGUUUGUUAAGUCAGAUGUGAAAGCCCACGGCUCAACCGUGGACGUGCAUUUGAAACUGGCAGACUUGAGUAUUGGAGGGGGUGGUGGAAUUCCCGGUGUAGAGGUGAAAUUCGUAGAUAUCGGGAGGAAUACCGGUGGCGAAGGCGACCACCUGGCCAAAUACUGACGCUGAGGUGCGAAAGCGUGGGGAGCAAACAGGAUUAGAUACCCGUGUAGUC